AGCACGUUCAAUUUUUGUUCACUAUCUAUAUAAAUCAUCUUUAUUUUUUAAUAUCACUGUUAUACGUUAUGACAUCAUUUAUCAAACCAAAAAAUAAUUGAACACGUGAAAACCAUCGCUUACCAGAUUCCAUAAAGCAUCGAACGGUAUUAAGGAACCAUGACGAAGUAAAACGAGUAUGAAUGAAAAUUUCGACGGGCGUAUAAUAAAGUGGUUUUCGCUUCUCGAAGUUCCGACGAGGGGUCGUCCCGUGCAUAAUUCUGGACACGGACCUCGUGUAAAACACGCGUGUGCACAAAGGCUGCCAUGUUCAAGUGACACAACAGAAAAACCGAUUACACGGACGAGAGAGAAAGUGAGAGAGUUGAUUUCCCCCGAAAAAUAAGGAGGAGGAAAAUGAGCUAGAAGGCGAGAGGAGUCGCGUCGCCGCAGCUGCCCGUGGCGAAUCCGUUUUUAGCCCCGCGUUGGGGUUGCAGGAAUCCCCUGGAUCUAGCGCAGUCCAUCAUCCUCGUCGACGACUUGUCAACUCCAUUAAGUUAUGAGCAGGCAUGUGCGAAUAUUUCGACAGUUUUCAUCUUCUCCGUCCUCGAACUCGGAAUUCGAUUCGCUGUUUGCACGCCAACGAAUUGAUGUCUUGAGCGGCUGAAAUGAGGUUAGAAAAACGUAUAGAGUUAUUAUCUGCUGAAAUCAGGUAAGAGAGAUAAACAUAUAGAGUUGUUAUUAUUAGUUAAUAUAUUGGCACACUAUUUUUAGAGUUUUUGAUAUAUAUUUGUGAUAACUUGAAAAAUACGUGUGUUAACAAUAGUUUGUUUAUAUUUAAAUAGAAAAUAGAAAAUUUGUGAGAAGACGAGAGGGUGAUCAGAUUAAAAGUAACUUUUGUUCUAACUAUCACACUAGAAUCCUUGUGUUCAAUAAUUUACCAACUAAUAAUAUUAGCAAACUGACAAGUUAUAGGUUAUAAAUUAUAGACUUCUUCUUUGAAGUUUUAUAAGUUUUUUGUUAUAUAAUUCUUGCAAAAUUUCGUUAACUUUAUUACUAGAUUCGUUAAUCUUACGCAAGAAUGUUUAUCAAAUGAUAAAUACCUUGCAAGUUAUAACUUGUAAAAUUUCAUUAAAGUCAUUAGUUCGAUCGUGCAAAAGGAACCAAGUAUCCAAAUACCUAAAAACCAAGUACCAAAUCUAUCAUAUCCAAUCUAAUUGGAGAAUUCAAAAUUCGGUACCAAAGGCCAAGGAACUAGCCAAAAGAUUUCAAUUUUCCAAUCUGCGGACAAACAACUGAACAGAGAACAAAUAAGGGGGGACAAAAAACAAAGACAUAUCAAAAAACGGGGGAGAAAGGGCGAAAGGGGGAGUCUUCCCCCAUUCUAUAACGUGGAGUGCACGGUAAAGGAAGGGAGUAAAUAUCAUUACGUGGCUGCGGCGCGAUUCGAUUAAAACGCUAUUCACGUGUAUCUAGCCGAGGUCCGCAUAAACCUCGAAUAUAAACUGGCCGAUAGUAAAGCGGCGUAACGUAAUUCUGGCCGGGCUGAAAAGCGGCGGGGUGUUCGUACAAAAGGAGAAGGGCUGCUGCUGCUGCGGUGGUGGGCCAGAACGUGACGCAGCGUGACUCGUUUACUCGCUACGCUGGCACAAUGCGUUCGUCAGUGGCGUAACAUACCAUGUACAUAUAUACAGGGUGUUUCAGAACUACUAGUCCAUUAUGUGAGGGCUGAUAAGAGCAGUUGUAAAUAACAUUUUUUGCCUGAUAAACGUAUGUACAUAUAUAUAUACAUACAACGUGGUUUUAAGUUUUAAUAACGAAGUUUCAAGAGCGCAGGUUUUGAGCAUUUGCCAAUGAGCAAUCCACUUUAUAACUUUAUGGAUCGUUUCCAGUGUUUCAGUGAAAUCUGAAAUAGGAAAUUGUGUAUGUAUUGUUUCAUAUGUAAAGUAUGCUGUUCCCUAUUUUGUCCCUUAAAUAUCGGUAAAAUUUAUAGUUUUGCAGUAUUUCAUAUUAAAUAUUCGUGAAUUGACAAUUUUAACACUGCUGGAAACCUUUUAACUACUUACUACUCUACUUUGUGGCGGCACUCAACAGCAAAUACCACCACUGGACACUAACUAGAGUCGAACGACGGCAGCGUAGUGGUUAGCGCCUUAGAUUACGAACGUUCGGAACCCGGGUUCAAAUCCCCGCGACGGAGUCUCUGAUUUUUCUUCUAUCACGGACAACACUAUUUACACCUUAACUUUCUAUUCUCUCAUCACAUUUGGAAAAGUACUGUAACAAAAUGUAAGAACAGAAUAUUCUUAUUCUUCAUAUAUCAUCAAACAAUAAUCCGUUUCUUACUUCACACUUAACAACUGCUCAUUCCAAACAGGUCAUGCUCGUUACCAAACGUAUCAACUCGUAUCCAUAACGCGCGUGUUGUAUAGCUGUGUUCCUAAGAAAGUAAAGCAAUAUCAAUUGCAUAUUCCUUAGACAAAAAUAUUCCUAUAUUCUCAAUCCUUUACCAUCACCGAUCUAAUUGACCUAUAAUUCUGAGACACCGCAUAUAUAUACGAAGACACGUGCACACAGGGAUCGGGCAUUGAGGCAACUAUCCAACGAGAACGGUAGCUGGUGCAAGAUGCAUUCGUAGUCGGUCCCGUAUUCAUCUUGCGCGUUGCACUCGGCCGAAUCCUCGUCUGGCGAGCGCGGUAACCGCGCGUGUAUUCAGUUUUCUACCAGGCAUUAACGCGCCGGGCCUCCGUGCUCCCAUGAAACUGAUUGAUUACGCGCGCUCUCCGCUCCAUCGCCGCGCCGAUACCGCGCGCUCGUUUCAUGCGCGCCGCUGAAAGAGAAGCCGAUGGAUGCCUUUUCAAGCGCGCGCGAUCUUGCCCACUUUUACCAACCUCCUCCUCUCACCAUUCAGAUUCCCUUUCUCUUUCCUACUCUUGUCUUUGAUGUUUAAUACACUGCCGCCAAGCUGCCCUCUUUCGACAUUACGCAUCUACUUACUACUUUGUUGCGAUUCUCUCGCGGAACGUUUCUCGUUUCACGCUAUUUGUUGCACUAGAUAUUGCGAGGUUACCGUCAGAUGUUUAUAGGCUAGGAAUUUAUGAGAGUUCCGCUGGACAAAUUGAAUUCGAAACUUUGUUCAAAACGUUAGAAACGUGGCUUAAUUAUUAGUCUUUCCUCUCGUGAUUUCUUACCAUAACGUUCUAUAUUCUUUUGGAAGGAUAGCUAACUUUUGGAAAAACAGCAGCUUCUUGCACAAUGAUACAGAAUAGUCGUGUAAUUCGUUUCUUCGUUUGUUUUAUUGCAAAGUUUGUUAAUGUAUGAAAGUAUUAUACCUGUGCAAGAGGACUCAAUUAAUCAUGGUAAUCAAAAUUUAAUGAAUAUAUUCAAUUUAGAAAUAACAUUACUUUGAAAAAUAUCAUAUAAGUUGAUCUAUAAUCGAAUAAACACUCGUGCGCACUGAAAUACGAACAUUUCAGAGAUAUGGACACUUUUUUGAUUCUUAAAAACUUCCCACUGUCGUGCCAUAAUAUAUUUUCGUGCAGAGUGCAGCAAAUGCUCGAAACGGGUCGUUGAUUUUCUGCGAUCGUGCUAUGGGCGGUAAAUAAAUAAGACGCGAAUAUUGUCAACUCCCGUGGUACAUAUUUCAUAAGGGCAGGGACGAGCAAGUCCUGAAUUUCUGAUUAUAUUAACGUAACCAGAAUCAAUUCUUUGCGAUGCCCGUUACCCCUCGGUCGACUGUAUUAUACGAUUACAAUUAGUAGCACCCCCUGCGUAUUCCCUGAUUACAUCAGAAACGAACCUCCAGAGGCUGCACAAUUGGGUAGUUAUCGAUAUUGGGGUACAGGAUGUUUUGUUCGCGGGGAGUUAAACGUUAUGACUUUUUCCUCGUUACGCCAACUUGCGUGAUCUAGGAUAUCUUAGCGACGUACUGGCAAAGAAGGAAUCAAAGCUGAAAAUUUGAUAACGUGCAUAUGUAUACAUAGUUGAACAUUUAUUACUCGGAAACCUCUAUAAGGUCCAGAUACAUUAUUUUACAUCCGUACCUCGAGUUUGGAAUAGCCAGGUCUCUACACGCUGCUGCCCCUGCGACUAGAAGUGCACCUAUAGCUAUGUGUCACAGCAUGUGAGAAACCAAUUAUUCUUCCAACCGUUGGGAUUGUCUCAAAUAAAAUAAGACGUUGCAAGCGGUAUUCCUACCUCGUCGCUGUUCGACUACGUGUACAUUCAUGGAAGGCCCCUCUUACGCUGACAAUUUGCUAAAAAAUGCCAUCUCACUCAGCUGCGCAGAUAAGUAAACAACUAACCGGAAAGAUCCCCAAAUACCAAUAGAAAAGAAUAGCCGGGGAAAUAGCAAACUGGAGUAGAGGAUAUAAUUUAUGGACAAUCGCAGGAUCGACUCGAUGUUAUUUCUCUGCGGAAACAGCGACGACAUCUUCAUUCAAGGAGCCACUAGCUUCGAGAGAGCUAUGGUGCCGAUUCAUCGUGUGCACAAUUCGUCUCGUUCCUAUUCACUCGCACGAAAAACGGAGUCAAUGGGCCGUCGUCCUUGUGUUCGUUCCAGCUCCAGGCUUAUUAUUAUGGCCCGAAUUAUUUCGGCAAUAGCGGCCAGUAGCUACAGGUGCACUCGUUCAUGGAUACGUCGUUCGGGACACAUUCAGCGACAUUCGGUCAUUGAGAAGAGAAGUUUUUGCCGAUGACGAAUCGUAGGAAGCGACCGAUCCUCUGGGGAGGAAGCGUAAAAAGGAUCUGCCGGCAUUCAACGAUCCGUUCGUCCAGAACGGCCGACUCCCAUCGAUGGAAAGCAUCCUGGUUCUCCUUUUACAUCGAAUAAUCGAGCAACGGUGUAAUUGUGAAGUUGGAAGCACGCUGUUCACCGACAAUGUGCACAUUUGUCAGGAGAACAGUAUCGAUGAGCACUUCAUUUCUCGAGAUCGUGGAAAGUCCUCGAAAGCACACGCCCAGGUUAUUCCAGCUGUGAUUUGGAAAGUCUUGUAUGGUGUUUUGGAUUUAUUUGAGUUUUGUAUAAUUCAUAUGUUGGUAUCUUUGUUGUGUAUUCCUGGAAUUUAGAAAUGUUUCUUUGUUAGAAAUUGGGUAUUAAGUUACUGGUGAAUGAUGGUUAUUGGAUGAAUCUGAGGAUGUAAGUUAUGGUUCAUGUUGUAAAAAUAUGUACGUUAGUAACAAUUAGCCGUUUGCUUCUUUUCGACAGUAAACUUAGGAAUAUCAUGAAAAAUCUUAAAAUUGAAUAUCAACUAUGAAUGGACAAUGAAAUUGAAAUAUGUAGCUACAAGAAGUCUGACAUCUCGGAUAGUUCUAUUCAUGAAAAUGGCCUCGUAGAUAUUUGUCCAUUUUCCAACUGCUUCUUUGUGGUUCCUAGCUUUCAAUGAAAACUUCCUCUACUGCGCCUUAAUUUGUGUUACCAGUGAUCCUGGCAUCGUCAUCAACCCUUGUAGACCUGCACGUUCACCGUGUGGUCAUCCGUUAUGGUUACCGGGCAAGUCACUGAAAUCUUUGUCCGGAACGAUCCGAACGCCGAUGCAACGAACGUUAAUGAGUAUUGAUGUCCUCGCAAUCGAUCGACCGCCGCGAUACCGCUUAGCGGAACUCGCAUCACGCGGAAAACUUCCACGUAGCCGUAUAAUACGGUCCAUAUCGAUGAUUGAACCAUUGAUAUAGUUAUCGAUACCAGACAUUUGGGAUUAUUUUUAAAAGGAGAUGCGUUUUGAAAAUGUUAAAAAGUCGACUGAAGGCUCGUUGAACAUAUUCAAAUUUCUUUUGGAACGUGUUAAAGAGUAAUAACAGUUUUUCCGAGAUGAGUUCUUUAAGCUGUGUAAAUUGUGAAAUGUUUGACAUGGACAUAAAUGUUAAUCGAACAUUUCAAGCUUGUAGAUCAAAUCAAAAGGUGUAAUACAUGACUACACACAUAUAUAUAUAAAUAUAAAUGUUUGCUAGCAUAUAUUUUGCAAACAGUGUUCAUGAACUAUUCGUGAAUGUCGACAAGACACGUCUUUAAAAAGAGUAUAUACGAGUGAACCAUCAAGGUGAUGCAAAUUCGUGCGAACUGCGAAGACUAAAGGGUACCUGCACGCGAUUCUACCCUCUUGAUCGCGAUCUUUCGGCAAUCCCUCGCUAGUCGUUGGUUGUAGCGUGGAUCAGCGCGCAAAGGUAGCGCACAAGAUGACGUGCGGCAAACAUCAAAGCGUUCGACAUCUUUUUAAGGCCGCCACCGCCUUAGAACUCGUUGAACUGGCUCCUCCUUUCUCUCUUCCCUUCGUGAUUCCACUGUAUUCGUCUAUCUUCAUCGCGUAUCGUUUCUCUGCCGUUCUCCUCAUCGAACUGACUCGUGAAGGAUCUCGACGAUGCUGCCGUGUGCGUAUAUGUUUUUUUCUUUCUGUCUUUCCUUCUGCGUUUCGUUCUUUUUCUUGGUCUUGUUAGGUGUUCAGUGUUCUUUCUCCCAGUUGAUGAACUUGGCCUGGAUAAGGAUAUACGCAGCUAUGUAUUUCGUAUGCAUAACCGCGCAGACGUUCGACUGAUUGUGAGUAAUGAGGGGAAGGGAGUAUACGAAAGCGAAUGGUGAUCGUCUUUUACCUUGAUAUCUACCGUUUCUUUGCCGCGGUUUCCACUUUCGUCGAUACGAAUCUUGUUUUAAACGAUUUUAUUCUCUUGACUCAUAGCAUCGAGCUGCAGUUAUGGUACGAUGAUUAAUAGCGGAAAAUUAUAUUUGUAGUUUCAAGUUUCAUUAAAACGUGGUAUUUUCUUGUAUAACUCCUCUUUCCUUAUAUCUCUAUUAUCCUUCACAAUAUUUAAGCAAGCAUUCGAUCAAUCAUUUAUUUUAUCACGCGUGUCAAUUGCAUCUAAAAUUAAAAUAAGUUUCAUUAAAUUUUUCUCAGCGGAAAACCUUCAAAUCGAAGGACUGUGUAAUGAACUUAUUGUUUUAAUUCUUUGCAAGUGUAAAUAGUAAUAUCUACGAUUAUAGAAUAAAAUUAACUUCUAAACAGUAAUGCUCUUGAUCGAUUCAUAUACAAUAAUUAAUAUGAUAUUUUCUCAAAAAAGAAGAACGUAACAAUACAAAAAUCUAUCUUCAUGAAAGCGUUCGUGUUACAGGAAACCUUUAUGCCGUUACAAGGUCUAACCUGACGCACGCAAACAAGCAGCAGAAAAUGGUCCUGCCAGGCUUACCCGGUAAAACGGCGCUGACAAUUUUGGGAAAAAUUCUGGACAACGAUUCAGCAUAUCGGACGAGGCAAAGGAAGGAUCCAAAGGCAGCGCGAGCCUUCAAACAAUAGAACGCGAGACAGCUUCAUAUCCAUGGGACGUGGCCAUCGGUCUGGAAAAAAUCCGGAGCGACACGUUCGAACGAUUCGAAAAUUCGGUAGCUUUACGUUCCCCUGAAGAUGAUACCGUUGUUGCGUCCCUAGGGUGCCUUUGUAACCAGCGGCCACCGCCACCCCCGCGCGAAAGCCUCUGCUUAAGGGUCGGAUAGGAGGAAGAAACAAAUCCGCCACCUUUGGAUAUGAGAAGACGAGCGAUGGCCGCCGCGAUAACCGAUCGAUAAAUAACCAGCCCACGCCGGUGGACUACGCACCUAUGUAUCCUAAGGAAUCUUCUAUAUAUUCCAAACUUACCUUUCCUUAAUGUAUGUGUAAGCAUACACCUCUAGUUGCACGAAUCUGCUCAAUAUCACGUCAUUCCUUCUUUCUCGAGAAAGCUCACAAAGUUCGGAAUAGUCAAACUUCGGCGAAGCGAUCAGAAAAAUUCCCGUCACGAUGCACACGGCGGCGUCCACGUGGAAACGUACGAAGAAAGGAUCUUAACCUCUAGCCGGCUCUCCUUGCUCUCACGAUUUUAAUCCGUGGAAAUUGUGUCGGCAAACACGACGAUUGUUCGCUAGGAGAGAAAGAGAGGAAGAAGCGCGCGCAGCUUCAUCUGUCACGGGCAUUGAGGAUCGCGGUCGGAUGAUCACGCGUAAGCACGUUAUUCGCAGCGGCUUUUCAGCCGUGGUAUCGUUGCCUCUUAUAGGGGUUGGACAUCGCAGCGCGCCGCUCCACACGGAGGGGAUGGGGCAAGUAAGUCCCACCACCGUCACUACGCGGAUUAUCUCUGGGCGGCGCGGACCGACACCGGCUUUUUUUCCUACCUGGACAGCUAGGUCGUCCAGGAUCCCGAGUUACCUGGUUCGAUUCCCCACUGGUCGCGACAAUGGCUGAUAUUUGUGGGUAAUAGGGAGUUUCCUAAGUUUCCUUAGUCUCGCACACUGUGUAUUUCGUUAGAUACGUAUCCUGAUGAGAGAAUGUAGAAUAAAUUGUGAACACACAGAGCACACCGCCUUGCGUCUUCAUUUGGUUUUUGCUGUUUUUUAAAAAUGUGAUUUACAGAAGUAAAUUUUAAGAAAUCGCACUUUUAUUGAUCAACGUGAGAAUUACGCAUUUGCGUUGCCUUUGUAACAUCGAAUACGAUAAAUUACUCCUAAAUGAUGGAUAAUACGAACUUAAGGAUGUCAGAAUAGUAAUCCAAUGGAAGAGACACUCUUUUUAUAUCGAUGUAUAAGCUGUUCAACAGAGAGCUCAUCAUUUGCAAACUUUUUAUCGUUAACCAUGUGAUCAAUUAUAUAGCAAUAGAAUGGUAAUAUUGGUAAAUAAUGUUAAUAGAAAACCUAUGUAAUCAAGCUCAGAUUGCAUUUCAAUCUACUAGUAUUCCUGCUUACAUCCUAAACAAACUCCUACUUUUUCUAUGAAUACAUCCGCAACUUAUGCAGCCCAAUCGGUAUCCGGCGCCAAACAUCAAACGCACGAAAUAACACAACGCCGUCGGAACCGUCUCGAAAAAGGAAAAAAAGGAAGAAAGUAAAAAGAAUCGCGGCAGAUAUCCGCGAGCGGCAUCCUCCUGGGUCCUCGACGCUGUUACGGAUCGCAGCUGUGUGCAUCGGAUCCAGGCUACCUAAUUUUCGAGAGGGCGUAUAGCGCGCAAAGGGGAGAAGAGGGGGUCAGAAACCACCUGGAAUCCCCAGGAUCAGGGGAGUGAGAGCAUUCGAAUGCGUCGAGCCGUACAACGAGCCGCCACAGAAUAAGGGAUGCUCUUCCAAUCCUGUCCUUGUCUCUCUGGCCUUCAAACGCUGGCGCGCGCUUCUGAACCAUGUUUUCAGCCUAUGGUAUCCAUCCUAUGGCACUUUUUACAGGGCACCGAUAUACUUAUACAUAUAAGUGAACGACGUACCCUCGUUGUAACUACCCUUGGUUCGAAGGGUACCGGCGAGACUUAAACACCAGUAUACUUACCGCAUGUUGCCAUAAUGAGUGGAAAGGGACUUGGAGGGGAUUUUGGGGCAAGAGAUGUAGAGGGCAGAAAGCCCAGCCCGUUCCUCCUUUUCAUCGAACGCCGCAAAAGGCGGCCGAUGAUGCCUCGAAAGAAAGAUUAAAGCGCCCGCGAUCCGAACGCCACGGUUUGUUUAUCGGUCGCUUUUUCUUUUCCUUUUCUCUUUUUUUUUCUUUCUUUUCUUUUUCUUUGAAGGCGGUUCUCUUCUACUCGCGGCUUCUCUUCCUCGUUCCGCGCUUCCUCAAACGCGCGGCGCGCGCUUCGCGUUGCAAACGGACCGCCAGACUUUGGUUAAUAUGUAUGUUAUGUGGCUUUGAUCCGAACUUUGGUUUCCUCUUUUUCCUUACCCGAUUCUUUUCUUUUUGCCGCUUGCUUCUUUUCUAUCCUACAAAGUACAUAUAUGUACGUGUGCACACGCGAUAUAUAUUGAAGAGCGAAGCCGUUAUUUUAUUAGUUUUAAAAGGUUGUUUUGACGAAUAAGAUGAUUUGGUUGGCGUUGGUGAGUACUAUGUACUGAGGAUUUGAUUAGAUUGAUUUAGUGGAUGCUUCUUUUGUCCGAUAUUUGUCUAACGUUAACAUUUGUAUAUAUUAGUCGUCAAAAUAUUUCAACAACGUUUCCUUGAAUGUUGAAAUUAAUUGCAAACUUCAAACAUGUUUAAAUACAUAGAUCAUGAAAAUCACUAAAGCCCCAAAGUUUUGAAAAUACAGGCAUACACAACAUAUAAUACAAAAAACAAAGUGCAACGUAUAAAAGUGAAGAAAAGAAAGCAAAUAUUCAAGAAAGCCUAAUGCCGAGGGAUAAUCCUUUCAUGUUGACUCCUCGGGUUCCAUUACGCGUGUAGGAUGUUCAACAAGCUGGUCCGGUUAGUUAUUCGGCAAACGCCACCAGCAGCGUAAUUAUUAUCGAUAUUGCGCUCUCCGGUUCGUGCAUCGCCGCCUGUCUGCAAAAUGUAUUCCUCUGAUGCGCAUACCAACGUGUACAAGGGUUCAAUCGCGGUUUGGCGAGGGGUUGGAAAAUCGGCCAGGGGGAUGCGCAGGGGGAUGUUUCGUAGUAGGGCGGACCAGUGAAGGGAAAACAUGGUGGCCACUGGUUGCGGCAUUCAUCAGAGGCGGUACUCUGCGUAUACCUUUUGAGAUCUCUCCUUUCUCCUCUCCUCUCUUCUCCAUCUUCUCUACCUUUUUUUUCUCUUUUCUCUUUUCCUCUUUUCUCUUUCCCUCUUUCACUUCGAUCGUUCACGUGUGUACACGUCGGUAUACAACGAAACACCAAAGGGGGUUUGUGAAAAAAAAAAGCUUCUUCCAUUGAGAAUAUUCGCAAUAAAGGGAACCGCCUUCGUCGGCUCCUUUCACCUAAUAUUCCAUUGCCGAGGGAAAAAAAUCAUCCGCCCGUAUUUACACCUACUUUCGGCUACUUGGAAACGCAUUAUCGCGCUCCUCUCCGAGAGCACGGUCUACGGCCGUUUCUGAAAAGUUACACGAUUUCACGGAUACGCGCGUACCCAGUGUAUUGUGUCGCGCACACUGGAGGUACCAAUGAUACGCCUUUUGUAUUAUUGUUGUUUCGUUUAAGCAGACUGCGGUGGAUGGUUAUUUUGAUGGCUAUUUAGCGUUUGGCAAGUGUUCCAAGCUUACGAGAUCUAUCGAAUAGAUCGUUCCUCCUAUGUUUUUACUAGAUUAUGUGGUUAUUCCGGAUACAGAUUUUUGGUCUAGUUUAUAUCUGUAGUUACGACCCAAUAUUUUUAGUCAUAUGUGACGAUGUAAUUCAUUUAUUUAUUAUGUAGACGACUAACUAUUAGAUAUUUUAUUAAAUGAAGAUAUAGUCGUUCGUAGAAGUUUCCUUUAUUCGUAGUAAGGAAAUUCGUAAAUUUUUGAAGCCACUAGAAAAUGUGAAAAUAUUCAGACUACAAAUAUCAUGACGAUAUUUCCCCUAUCGAUACGUCGGUAUUAUUCGAUAUUCUUUUUCCUCGAGACUCAGCGUGUUACUAUCGACAUUAAGUAGCUCGUUAAUCCACAAAGCCGUACUACUAAACCGUAUGUAAAAACGCCAUUAACUUUCUUUAACAUGCUACACGUGUAAAAAGGAAAAUUCGAUAAAACAAUUUUCUGCGACUUCUCAACGACGAAUCCCAUCUUCUGCCAGUAUUACCACUGAUUAAAAAAAGGGAUAGAACGUAUAACGAGUUGGCGUUUUCACAAAGCCGUAACACAAUCGUGAAAAGAGCAUUGAGAACGAGCGUUUGGGACGAGGAACAGGUAGUAGGAACGUUUCACAGGUAAAACGCGAAACGGGAACGGGACGGGAUAGAAAUCACGGGGAAACGACUUUUAAUUACGGGACAGAGGGGAGGCGCGUACGCCGCGGCGAAAGAACGAGAAAAAACGAGAAGGGAGCGGCAUGGAUCAGAGGCACCACGAAUGUUUUCAAUUACAUUUGCAGCACUCCCCAGCAUCGGUGUCUGAUUACACCGAGAUGUCGGGAGGCUCGUUUGCCGCGAAAUGCACUUGCCAUUUCGAUGCCGCGCCUUGUGUUCCCGUCCUCGCUAAAUCUGCCUAUGUGUGUAAGAGCGGAUUCACCUAACCCAAUACAUGCUAGUAGACCAAGCAUUGCUUAUUCGAAUUUUUAAUCGUCGGAAUAUUUAUCUUUCUUUCAAGUGAUAUCAGGUAAACAAAAUUAAUGUUCUAAAUCUAUUCUUUAUGUAUCAACGAGUUUAGUGCUUGAUCAGAUUGUAGUUCUGAACUUACCAUUAAACAUCAAGAUGCUAGGUAAACGAUAUAAAUUAACCAAAUAAUAUGGAGUACGAAAGAAAAAUAAUCUUAAGGAAUUGGUUUAAAAAAGUUUUGUAAUUUUAUAGCUUAAAAAUAUACUGUGUAAUACAAACUAUAGUAUAUACUACAUAUAACAUGUUAUAUGUAAUAAGUGAUGAUAUUUAUACGAAACGUGAAAAAUUUGAUUAUCCGAUUGACCUGUAACUAUUUAUACGUUUUUAUAUUGUGCCAAUAAUUGAGAUUACAGUAUAGAAAGGCGAAUCAUCUGAUUAUCUUCUCUCUCUCAUUCGAAAUGUCCUCGACAGUUACUAUCGAUUCCCUUCUCGAAACUCGUCUUUCGGUAAUCUGAUACAUUUUUUGAUCUCCGAGUGGGCCCACUUUUAGCCCUCUAUGUAACCACUGAGAGAUUAGGCGAAAUAUUUAUAUACUAUGUUUCUUUCGGACGAAAUUACUGUGGGUCAAGGCUCUCAAAAUACAAUGUGCCCUGUAUUUUCUUAAGAAAUUUAUCUUAUCUUAUAUGUUGCUAUCUGAUCCAUUCGAUCGAGGUACAAAAAAGGCGCAAAGUUUAUUCUUUGCAGUGUUUUCGCCGAUAUCUGUAAUCGUAUGACAUGGAUGCAUGCAAAAAUAUUCACUAAACAACAGGCAAAGCCACCAUAUAUUCAGCUACCCGUGACACCGAGAACUUCCGGUGUCCUCACCGGAAGUACAUGCAGCGAACCACGAUCCAGCCACUGGAUCAUAUUUCUCGUAGGAUUUGCCACGUUGUUAUGUCGAAUUCACAUGCCGUGAGAUUAGCCUAAUAAUUAGGAAAUGAGGCUGCCAUUUAAAGCAGGCGGUUCUCGUAGAAAACGGAUGUUGGGAAAUAUUUUUUCCGGGGAUCCAUUGCACGGUCUCGCUGCCAUGAAUGAAAACUUGACUCUCGGCGGGUAUCAGCAUUUCCGACUAGGUGAAUUUCAUAUUCCACGGGUAUUAUUUGAACGAUUAACGCGAAUGGAAAAGCUCGUUGCCAGUCCCAGCCCUCGUAUUGUUGGCAGCAUUUUCAACCGAAGCAUUUACAAUUCUCUCUUUAUUGCCUUUCGGCUUAUCCGGAUUGCGUCGGGCCGCGAGCGAGCCGCGUUUCAUUCUAAUAAUAACCAUUAAGUUAACGAACUGCAACGCGGCUGUUUGAACACCGCUGGACACAGGGAUUAACGUACCAUUAAUAAGAUUAUCCGCGUAAACAAUAGAUUGUCCAUUUCCGACCUCCGACCAUCCGAUUUCGCCGGAUAUAUAAUGUGAGCCACGGGACUCGCGGUUUAUUGAAAAACUCGAUACACAGCCGCCAGAGAUUUGCAAAUGUGACAAUUCGUAUGCCAAUAUGGUGAAGAUACGGUGUGGCGUUCACGACGAACUAUGGC